rnacentral:rRNA from 1 species
UACGUAGGGGGCAAGCGUUGUCCGGACUUAUUGGGCGUAAAGAGCGUGUAGGCGGCCAGGUAGGUCUGCUGUGAAAACUCGAGGCUCAACCUCGAGACGUCGGCGGAAACCAUCUGGCUAGAGUCCGGAAGAGGAGAGUGGAAGUUCCUGGUGUAGCGGUGAAAUGCGUAGAGAUCAGGAGGAACACCCGUGGCGAAGGCGGCUCCCUGGUCCGUCCCUGACGCUGAGACGCGAAAGCGCGGGGAGCGAACGGG